rnacentral:lncRNA from 7 species
AGUGGGGCGUGGGUGGACGGGGGGGGGGGGGAGAGGGUGGAAGGAAAAAUUGGAGGUAGGGUGAGGGAAGGGGAGGGUUGAAGGGAAAAUAAUGAAACAGAGGAAAAAAGAGAAUAACAAGUAAAAAGCAAUGCAUGUAAAUACAGAGCAAGCAAGUAGGAAAGCUAGGCAUAGCACAGCAAAAGAGAGCAAAGCAAAAGAAGGCAAAGAAUGACAAAAAGCAACCUUGCAGGAAUGGAGGAAUCUGUCCAGAGCUGUGCCCCUGCUUGCCACAGGAGCUGCGCGGGAGGAGAAGAACGUGGGCCAAAAGGAAUGGAGGAAUCUGUCCAGAGCUGUGCCCCUGCUUGCCACAGGAGCUGCGCGGGAGGAGAAGAACGUGGGCCAAAAGGUAAGAGGAGCUCCUUUGGGUUCUGGGCUUGAAGCAAAGCUGAGAAGCCAUGCCCGGGAGGAGGUGUGGGUAGCUACAGGCCACCUUGCUAUCUCCCCAAGAGAUGAGGUGUGUGGGCUAGGCACCGGGCAGGAGUGCUGGCCAGAAGCAAGCAUCUCUGUGGAGGAAGGCAAAGGGCGGAGGAGGUUAGGGACUGGGAAGGGUUUUUUAAAAAUAACAAAAAAAUUGUGAA